CUUACAGUUAUUGAUGUAAUUUACAGCACAUAGAACAAAAUUAGCCAAAUCCCUUACAAAUUUAUAGCUAAAGUUAUUUUCAUUUUAUUUCUCUAUGUUUUUAGCCUUUGCAUUAUAAUUCUAAACACAACAGAUAACAUAGAUUCAUUUGGAAACUACAUAGGGCAUCAUGUAACAUCAUAGUAUAUACAUCAUACAAAAC